rnacentral:rRNA from 1 species
AGGUGUGAUCAUACCAACAUUAAUGCACCAGAUCCCAUUGGAACUCCGUAGUUAAGCGAGCUUGGGCUAGAGUAGUACUAGAAGGGUGACCUUCCAGGAAGUCCUAGUGUUGCACCCU